GAUGAACGCUGGCGGCGUGCCUAAUACAUGCAAGUCGAGCGAACAGACGAGGAGCUUGCUCCUCUGACGUUAGCGGCGGACGGGUGAGUAACACGUGAAUAACCUACCUAUAAGACUGGGAUAACUUCGGGAAACCGGAGCUAAUACCAGAUAACAUGUUGAACCGCAUGGUUCAACAGUGAAAGACGGUCUUGCUGGCACUUAUAGAUGGAUCCGCGCCGCAUUAGCUAGUUGGUAAGGUAACGGCUUACCAAGGAAACGAUGCGUAGCCGACCUGAGAGGGUGAUCGGCCACACUGGAACUGAGACACGGUCCAGACUCCUACGGGAGGCAGCAGUAGGGAAUCUUCCGCAAUGGGCGAAAGCCUGACGGAGCAACGCCGCGUGAGUGAUGAAGGUCUUCGGAUCGUAAAACUCUGUUAUUAGGGAAGAACAAAUGUGUAAGUAACUAUGCACGUCUUGACGGCACCUAAUCAGAAAGCCACGGCUAACUACGUGCCAGCAGCCGCCGUAA
rnacentral:rRNA from 1 species